AUGGCUCCUGAUGUGCCACCAAACAGAGCAGAGAGGAGUGGAACGACUCACCUGGCUCCAUGUCUGCUUCAUCCCGAGCAGCAGCAAGGUUGUCCACUGGCCGUUCCUCCCUCCACAUCGGACGAGAGGAGGAGGACAUGGCAACCGGCGCCGUCGCCUAUGCCCGAAACCCUAGCCAUGGGGGGUGGGGGUCGCGGGUGGGCUUUGGUGGCUUCGAGCGUCGGAUCUAGCCGGAUGGGAGGGCGCCGCGGUGCGAGGAGAGCUCGGGUUGUGCUUCGCGGUGGCGGGAUUCGCCGAGCGUCGCCUGAAUCAGCCGUCGCCGGUGGCGCAGCGAGGAGCAGCGUGAAGAGAGAGAUGGGAGGCGAGAGGGAUGGGCGGGUAGGAGAUGCUACGGAUACUGCAGCCUCCGGAGCUGCGAGGUGGGUGGAGAGGAGGGGGAGGGCCGGCGGCGAGGUGGGUCGGAGAAGGAAGAGGAGGUGGUGGGUGGCGGUGAGGUGGGAGGGAUAA
rnacentral:rRNA from 1 species